GCUGGGUGUGGUGGUGCAUGCCUGUAGUCCCAGCUACUCAGGAAGCUGAGGCAGAAGAAUUGCUUGAACCCAGGAGACAGAGGUUGCAGUGAGCAGAGAUCAUGCCACUGCACUCCAGCCUGGGUGACAGAGCAAGACUCUGUCUGAA
rnacentral:SRP_RNA from 1 species